ACCGUGAACCACUCCACCCCAUAUCCAUUCUUCACCUCGUGAUUAACGACAGAGAGAAAGAGUGAGCUGAGCCUCUCAUCUUCUUCCCAUGCUGCCGUGAGCCGCGACUGGAGACCAACCGAGAGAGGGAGAACCGAGCUCCUCAUUCGUUUCCUUUCUGUCCGCAAACUAGAGAGGGAAGAGAGUGACUUGCGGUUCAUUUCUCCUUCCAUCCGUGAGUUGGUGAAGGCUGAGAACCAAAUUUCUUUUAUCAGCCGCAAGCCAGAGCAAGGGAGAGAGAGGCAGCUAGCGGUCUGCAUUAUUUUUUUCUGGACUGCCGGAGGAAGGGAAUCAAUUUCUGCUGCUAACCGUGUGAGUGUACUCCUAGUUGAGGUGAUUCAGAGGACACCGAGAAGCUCUUUUAAUUUCCUGCUUUUGCUCUUGCUUUGCUUCGGAUUACGUUCUAUGCAGGGCUCGAGAAGGAUAGUUACUCAAGCACAAGGAUUUGGAGUACCGUGGAUUAUCCUUUAUCUAGGUUGUGAUUGAUCUUCUUUGUGGAAUGUAAUGGUUAUUUUGAAAGAUUUGUGAACUUUAUGGUAUGAUGUACUUGUGGUUGAAGUGAAUGUAAAUCUCAUGACAUUUU